GUGGGGAAUAUUGGGCAAUGGGCGCAAGCCUGACCCAGCAACGCCGCGUGAAGGAAGAAGGCUUUCGGGUUGUAAACUUCUUUUGGCAGGGACGAAAACAAUGACGGUACCUGCAGAAUAAGCACCGGCUAACUACGUGCCAGCAGCCGCGGUAAUACGUAGGGUGCAAGCGUUAUCCGGAUUUACUGGGUGUAAAGGGCGCGUAGGCGGGAAUGCAAGUCAGAUGUGAAAUCUGUGGGCUCAACCCACAAACUGCAUUUGAAACUGUAUUUCUUGAGUGAUGGAGAGGCAAGUGGAAUUCCUAGUGUAGCGGUGAAAUGCGUAGAUAUUAGGAGGAACACCAGUGGCGAAGGCGACUUGCUGGACAUUAACUGACGCUGAGGCGCGAAAGCGUGGGGAGCAAACAGGAUUAGAUACCCGGGUAGUCC
rnacentral:rRNA from 1 species